UACGUAGGGUGCAAGCGUUGUCCGGAAUUAUUGGGCGUAAAGAGCUCGUAGGCGGUCUGUCGCGUCGGCUGUGAAAACUUGGGGCUCAACCCCAAGCCUGCAGUCGAUACGGGCAGGCUAGAGUUCGGUAGGGGAGACUGGAAUUCCUGGUGUAGCGGUGAAAUGCGCAGAUAUCAGGAGGAACACCGGUGGCGAAGGCGGGUCUCUGGGCCGAUACUGACGCUGAGGAGCGAAAGCGUGGGGAGCGAACAGG
rnacentral:rRNA from 1 species